rnacentral:rRNA from 1 species
AGUGAACGCUGGCGGUAGGCCUAACACAUGCAAGUCGAACGGCAGCACAGUAAGAGCUUGCUCUUACGGGUGGCGAGUGGCGGACGGGUGAGGAAUACAUCGGAAUCUACUUUUUCGUGGGGGAUAACGUAGGGAAACUUACGCUAAUACCGCAUACGACCUACGGGUGAAAGCAGGGGAUCUUCGGACCUUGCGCGAUUGAAUGAGCCGAUGUCGGAUUAGCUAGUUGGCGGGGUAAAGGCCCACCAAGGCGACGAUCCGUAGCUGGUCUGAGAGGAUGAUCAGCCACACGGGAAGUGAGACACGGCCCAACCCCCUAGGGGGGGGACAGGGGGGGAAUUUUGGAAAAGGGGGGCAAGCCUGACCCAGCCAUACCGGGGGGGGGAAGAAGGCCUGGGGGUUGGAAAGCCUUUUUGUUGGGAAAAAAAAGCAGCAGGUUAAACCCCCGCUGUUCUGACGGUACCAAAAGAAUAACCACCGGCUAAUUUCGU